UACAGAGGGGGCAAGCGUUGUUCGGAAUUACUGGACGUAAAGGGCUCGUAGGCGGCCAACUAAGUCAGACGUGAAAUCCCUCGGCUUAACCGGGGGAACUGCAUCUGAUACUGGAUGGCUUGAGUUCGGGAGAGGGAUGCGGAAUUCCAGGUGUAGCGGUGAAAUGCGUAGAUAUCUGGAGGAACACCGGUGGCGAAGGCGGCAUCCUGGACCGACACUGACGCUGAGGAGCGAAAGCCAGGGGAGCAAACGGG
rnacentral:rRNA from 1 species